AUAUAUAUAUCUAGAUGUGUGUGUGUGUGUAUGACAGUUCAUUCGGCUGUAUAUCUUUCUGUGUCUCUCUCAGUCAUUUUCACAAACACUUUCAGAUCUAUCUAAUAAGGAAAUAUGUGAGUCUGUAACUUUAGGUUCACUUCAAAGUGCUCGUACGAAGGGUUCUCUCAGAGAUUGGAGGGUUCUCUCAGUAGAUUGUGUUGGAGGGAAAAUGGACGGUGCCGAUGGGACGGUGAAGUUGGGGGCUGUGAACUUGAGGCCGGAUCGGGCUGGCCUCGAUUCGGGUCCGGAUGUCUCCGUUUCGUCGCCGGUGACUAGGCAGAAGGCCGCUGCGGCCAAACAGUUCAUAGAGAAUCAUUACAAGAACUAUCUCCAGGGACUGCAAGAUCGCAAAGACAGACGUCGAACACUUCAAAGGAGAGCACAAGAAGCUCAGGUACCAGCUGAGGAGCAGGAGGAGAUGAUGAGGAAUUUGGAGCGAAGAGAAACUGAAUAUAUGAGGCUGCAAAGACGUAAAGUUGGAAUUGAUGACUUUGAGCAAUUAACAGUAAUUGGUAAAGGUGCCUUUGGUGAGGUUUGGCUAUGUCGCGCUAAAGAUACGGGAGAGAUUUUUGCCAUGAAGAAAUUGAAGAAAUCAGAGAUGCUCAGCCGUGGACAGGUUGAGCAUGUUCGAUCUGAGAGGAACUUGCUUGCAGAGGUUGAUAGUCGGUGCAUUGUAAAACUCUUUUAUUCUUUCCAAGAUUCCGAUUUCUUAUACCUUAUCAUGGAGUAUCUACCUGGUGGGGACAUUAUGACAUUAUUGAUGAGAGAAGAUAUUCUUUCUGAAGAUGUUGCACGUUUUUACAUAGCAGAGAGCGUUCUAGCUAUUUACUCAAUUCAUCAACACAAAUAUAUUCAUAGGGACAUAAAACCAGAUAACCUGAUACUGGAUAGAAAUGGCCAUUUGAAGCUUUCAGACUUUGGCUUGUGCAAGCCUCUAGAUGAUAAGUAUUCAUCAAUAUUAUUGGAAGAUGAGGAUUUUACGACCCAGGAAUCCACACCUGAAACUGAAGGGCAUUCUGCUUACGAUAAAGCACCUUGGUUGAUGCCAAAGGAACAAUUGCAACGAUGGAAACGUAAUCGUCGUGCAUUGGCCUAUUCAACUGUUGGAACUCUUGAUUAUAUGGCACCUGAAGUUUUGCUCAAGAAGGGUUAUGGAAUUGAGUGUGAUUGGUGGUCGCUGGGGGCAAUCAUGUAUGAGAUGCUUAUUGGCUAUCCUCCCUUCUGUUCUGAUGAUCCAAGGAUCGCAUGCCGCAAGAUAAUCAAUUGGAAAACAUGCCUGAAAUUCCCUGAGGAACCAAAAAUAUCAAAGGAUGCUAAGGAUCUGAUAUGUCAUUUAUUAUGUGAUGUUGAAACAAGGUUGGGUACUCGAGGAGUGGAAGAAAUAAAGGCACAUCCAUGGUUCAAAUGCAUUCAGUGGGACAUGCUGUAUGAAAUGGAAGCUGCAUAUAGACCUACUGUGAUUGGAGACUUAGACACUCAGAAUUUUGAGAAGUUUCCUGAAGUUCUUCCAUCCAUAUAUUGGAAACAUCCAUUAACAUCAGUUGUUACAGACUAAUAAAAUUAUGCCACUUGUUAAAAUAUUUACCUCUUUUUUGCUCCAUCUUAAUUAUUUUUUAAAACAAUUUAAUGAUAAAAAUAAUACAAGAAAGAAAAAUAGAUGGUUAAAGAGAGAGAAAAGGAGAGAAGGGGUUGAAGACAGAGAGAGAGAGAGAGAGUGAAUGGGAAAAUCUGCUUAAGGGAAAAGAAUAUAAGAAAGAAAAAAAAAUCCUUUAUAUGCUUCUGGUCAGAAGCUCAAGCCUUGGUUCCAACUUUUGGGUCCAGAAAAUGGACCCUGUAAAUGCACUAUUCAAAGUAAAAUGUUUGUUAAAUUGGCAAAAUAUUUCUAACCUGUGUCUUUUAUGGUCUUCACCUUGUUCUUUGUUUUAAUCCUAUUAUGAAUGGAGUGGCAUUGGUUUUAGUAGAAGAUAGCCUGAUCAUCUCAACCAUUUUCUUUUGCACCCUUCCAAAGUUUACCAACAAACUAUUUUAUACUAUAAAGCAAUAAAUAAUACUUAUAUAGAAAGAAAAAAAAAAAAAAAUUUUUGCUAUCUGCUGGAGACGGAUUUUAAAAUGGGUAGUUUCCUACAAAAUAUGAUUAAACAUUGAAAUUCUUUUAAAAUUCGUUACCCUCCCAGUGAUUGAAAUUCUGUAGAGGUAGGAGUUGCUUUCUCUUUUCAUUUGGCCUUUUCAUUUUAUUCUAUGAAAUGAUAUGCAAGAUGUUAAACCAGACUAUAGAGGGUUUGACUGAUUCAAUUGAGAAUUAAUCCUUUACAUCUCUCUUUUUCUUUCUAAGCUUUUAUAUUUCCUUGGAAAAAGAAAGAGAAUAGAUUUCUAUCAAGCUUUUUUUAUUUUUGUUUCCUAUCUUUUAAUAGGUAGAAGGUCCACCAUCCACAAUACCAACAGUAGGACCCUGGCGGAAGAUGCUGACAUCAAAAGAUACCAAUUUCAUAGGAUUUACUUUCAAGAAAUC